CGCAGCGCAUGCGCGGGGCGGGGCCCUCAGCCCGGCGUUCCGCCCCGUCAGGUGCCCGCUCGCCAGCCCCUCGCUCGCCGCUCGCCGCCAUGGCUCUCCUCCACACCCGCCGGCUCCUCGCCGCCCCGCGCCUCGCCGCCACCGCUGCCCGGGCCAGCUCAUGGUGGUCCCACGUGGAGAUGGGUCCCCCCGACCCCAUCCUGGGGGUGACAGAAGCUUUCAAGCGCGACACCAACUCCAAGAAGAUGAACCUGGGGGUGGGGGCGUACCGGGAUGACAACGGGAAGCCCUACGUCCUGAACUGCGUUCGCAAGGCGGAGGCCAUGAUUGCAUCCAAGAAGAUGGACAAGGAGUACUUGCCCAUUGGGGGGCUGGCGGAUUUCACCCGGGCGUCUGCAGAACUGGCUCUGGGUGAAAACAGUGAGGCUUUCAAGAGCGGACGGUAUGUCACUGUGCAGGGUAUUUCUGGGACGGGAUCCCUGAGAAUUGGAGCCAACUUUUUGCAACGGUUUUUCAAGUCUAGCCGUGAUGUGUACCUACCCAAACCGUCCUGGGGCAAUCACACCCCCAUUUUCCGUGAUGCUGGCAUGCAGCUUCAGGCUUAUCGCUACUACGACCCCAAGACGUGCAGCCUUGACUUCUCUGGAGCCAUGGAUGACAUUUCUAAAAUUCCAGAGAAGAGCAUCAUCCUCUUGCAUGCUUGUGCUCACAACCCCACCGGGGUGGAUCCCCGGCAGGAGCAGUGGAAGGAGUUGGCAGCUUUGGUGAAGAAACGGAACCUCCUGGUGUACUUUGACAUGGCCUACCAGGGCUUUGCCAGCGGGGACAUCAACCGGGACGCCUGGGCCGUGCGGCAUUUCAUCGAGCAGGGCAUCAACGUGGUCUUGUCGCAGUCCUACGCCAAGAACAUGGGGCUGUACGGAGAGCGUGCGGGUGCUUUCACGGUGAUCUGCAGUGACGCAGAGGAAGCCAAGAGGGUGGAAUCGCAGCUGAAGAUCCUCAUCCGCCCCAUGUACUCCAACCCGCCCCUCAACGGAGCCCGCAUCGCCUCCAUCAUCCUCAACACCCCCGAGCUACGGAAGGAGUGGCUGGUGGAGGUGAAGGGCAUGGCUGACCGGAUCAUUAGCAUGAGGACUCAGCUGGUGUCCAACCUCAAGAAAGAGGGAUCCUCCCACAACUGGCAGCACAUCACUGACCAGAUCGGCAUGUUCUGCUUCACGGGGCUGAAGCCUGAACAGGUGGAGCGGCUGACCAAGGAGUUCUCCAUCUAUAUGACGAAGGACGGGCGGAUCUCCGUGGCGGGGGUUACGUCGGGCAACGUAGGUUACCUGGCACAUGCCAUCCAUCAGGUCACAAAGUAAAGACAGAGGUGUGCCCUGGAGCCGGUGGCCUUCCCUUCCCCACCGGGCGAAGAUGGGGAGGGAAAGGAAACGAGCAGAAUAUUUCCAACCACAGCACUUGAUGCCGCUGCUGAAUGUAUCUUGUAGAUGAGUUGUUGUAGAAGCCUAGUCAAAACCACCCUGCCUUGCAGAGCAGGGACAUCAUUGCUGGCUCCCGCUCGUCACAGCCAUGGCCCCCUGCUGUCCAUCCUUUGUGUCCAUCAGCCCCAGCACCCGUCCACGCUGGGGGAAGCAAACGCUUCGCGCUGCCGUCCCACCGGCAGAGCCACCAAAGGCUUCCCCGCGCUGGUUUCUCCAGGAGAAGGCUCUGUUGGCAGCAGGUGGGGAGCUGGGUGGGCUGAGGGGGGGGAGCUGCUCAGGUACACCCCUGCCACCUCCUCAGCCCGUCCCUGCUGCCACCAGGCUCCGUCCCUGGGGCUGGGGAGCACCUCCCAUAACCGGCUCUGAGGACUUCUCACUACUAAAAUCUGUUCCACCAUCAGCUUCGCUCUUCCCACCUGGGAACCUCCUUUCAGGUGUCGUUCACGGUGGCAGAGCAGUGUCCCUGGUCCUCCUGACUUCACUCCUCUGCCCUGGGGUGAAACAAUACCUUACCUCCCCCCCCAAAAAAAGAAGAACCUCCUCUGAAAAAUCUUCUCUCUUGGUCUCUGCCUCUCCCUGUUCCUCUACCACCCCCAGCCAAGCAGAGUCUGGCUGUGUCCCCCCCCAAAGCCACGAGGCCAGAGGGUGGCCCUGCCGUGUCCACUCUCACAAGAGGUGUCCUUCAUCUGCUCUGCUAACGCCAGAAAACAGGAGGGAAAGAUCCUGAGGGAAGUCAGAGCUGCUGACCCAAAAAACAUCCUUGUCCAUUUGACCUGAGUGUCCCUGAGGCCCCGUCACUCCCUGGACUCUGAUUUAUUAUUUUUUUUUAAAUCCAAAUAAAGCGGUGCACGGCUGUGUCGAGCUGGGGA